ACAAUUUUUGCGAAGUAUAUAAAUGAAUACAAAAAGCAACAAAAUGCUGGAUUAAAUGAUAGAUUAAAAGAUGUAUUAUCAGAUAAUUCAACUGAACCCAAAGAACUUAAGACAAGUGGAUCAAAAGGUUUUGUGUGGCCUGAUGCUGCAGUAUUUUUACUUAUUGAACUAUAUAGAGAUAGAGAACAUGAAUUUAAUAGUGGGAUGAAGAGACAUAACGUCAUUUGGGGAGAUAUUGCUGCCGAAAUGAAAGAAGUCAACAAGAAUUAUACAGUUACUGGCCUCCAGUGUUCUACAAAAUUUUCAGGCCUGAGACGAACAUACAAAAAUAUAUAUGAGCAGAACAGAAAAAGCGGCAAUUCUUAUAAUAGUUGGGCUUUUUAUUCAGUGAUGGACUCAUUAAUUGGUGAUAAGGCUUAUAUAAAACCUCCAGCGAAGGCCCAACACUACUAAACCUAGCAGAAUCUACAUCUGGAUCAUCUACAUCAGAAUCUUUAUCUCCUUUGCUUCUUUCAGAAAAUGUGCGCCUAAAAAAAGACGAGUUGAAAGUAUCUUUGAAAAUUAUAUCAAUGAUAUACGAUGCGAAAAAGAGCGCGAAAAAAAACAGUGAGACGAAGAACGGAGAAAAAGAGAAGAACAACGAGAAGCAAAAUUUGAAGAAAGGAAAAAACAACGUGAAAAAAUGCACAAUGAUAACAUGGAGAUACAAAAAUCAUUACUUGCCAUUCUGCAAACUUUAGCAAAUAAAAAAUAAAAAUCGGA